UUGAUACUUAGCGGCGGACGGGUGAGUAACACGUGGGUAACCUGCCUAUAAGACUGGGAUAACAUUCGGAAACGAAUGCUAAUACCGGAUACGCGAUAUGGUCGCAUGACUGAAUCGGGAAAGAUGGAGCAAUCUAUCACUUAUAGAUGGACCCGCGGCGCAUUAGCUAGUUGGUGAGGUAACGGCUCACCAAGGCGACGAUGCGUAGCCGACCUGAGAGGGUGAUCGGCCACACUGGGACUGAGACACGGCCCAGACUCCUACGGGAGGCAGCAGUAGGGAAUCUUCCGCAAUGGACGAAAGUCUGACGGAGCAACGCCGCGUGAGUGAUGAAGGUUUUCGGAUCGUAAAGCUCUGUUGCCAGGGAAGAAUGUCUUGGGAGAGUAACUGCUCCCAAGGUGACGGUACCGAGAAGAAAG
rnacentral:rRNA from 1 species